UGGGGAAUAUUGCAUAAUGGAGGGAACUCUGAUGCAGCGACGCCGCGUGAGUGAUGAAGGAAUUCGUUUCGUAAAACUCUGUUCUAUGGGAAGAAAAGGACUGUACCAUAGGAGAAAGCUCCGGCUAAAUACGUGCCAGCAGCCGCGGUAAUACGUAUGGAGCGAGCGUUGUCCGGAAUUAUUGGGCGUAAAGGGUGCGCAGGCGGCUUUACAAGUUGGAUGUGAAAUAUUGUGGCUCAACCACAAACGUGCAUCCAAAACUGCAAAGCUUGAGUUAAGGAGAGGUAAGUGGAAUUCCUGGUGUAGCGGUGGAAUGCGUAGAUAUCAGGAGGAAUACCGGUGGCGAAGGCGACUUACUGGACUUAAACUGACGCUCAGGCACGAAAGCGUGGGGAGCAAACGGG
rnacentral:rRNA from 1 species